UCUUUGGUGUAGUUGGUAGCGCCUUGGAUUAAUAAUUGUAAGUUUCAGGUUCAAGUCCUGGUCGGGGUAAAAA